UUAAGUUCAGCGGGUAGUCCUACCUGAUUUGAGGUCAAAUUGUCAAAGUGUUGUCCUUGCGGACGGUUAGAAGCAAGUCUAAACCCCCUCCACGGCGUAGAUAAUUAUCACACCAAUAGACGGAGCUUAGUGAAACUCGCUAAUGCAUUUCAGAGGAGCAGACCGCACAGAGGCAGCCUGCAAAAACCUCCACAUCCAAG
rnacentral:misc_RNA from 1 species